AACGAACGCUGGCGGCAUGCCUAACACAUGCAAGUCGAACGAGACCUUCGGGUCUAGUGGCGCACGGGUGCGUAACACGUGGGAAUUUGCCUCGGGGUAUGGAAUAACUCAGGGAAACUUGAGCUAAUACCAUAUAAUGUCUUCGGACCAAAGAUUUAUCGCCCUGAGAUAAGCCCGCGUAGGAUUAGCUAGUUGGUGGGGUAAAGGCUCACCAAGGCGACGAUCCUUAGCUGGUCUGAGAGGAUGAUCAGCCACACUGGGACUGAGACACGGCCCAGACUCCUACGGGAGGCAGCAGUGGGAAUAUUGGACAAUGGGGCGAAAGCCUGAUCCAGCCAUGCCGCGUGUGUGUAAGAAGGUCUUCGGAUUGUAAAGCACUUUAAAGUUGGGAGGAAGGGUAAGUAACCUAAUACGUU
rnacentral:rRNA from 1 species